rnacentral:rRNA from 1 species
AGUGAACGCUGGCGGUAGGCCUAACACAUGCAAGUCGAACGGCAGCACAGUAAGAGCUUGCUCUUACGGGUGGCGAGUGGCGGACGGGUGAGGAAUACAUCGGAAUCUACUUUUUCGUGGGGGAUAACGUAGGGAAACUUACGCUAAUACCGCAUACGACCUACGGGUGAAAGCAGGGGAUCUUCGGACCUUGCGCGAUUGAAUGAGCCGAUGUCGGAUUAGCUAGUUGGCGGGGUAAAGGCCCACCAAGGCGACGAUCCGUAGCUGGUCUGAGAGGAUGAUCAGCCACACUGGAACUGAGACACGGUCCAGACUCCUACGGAAGGCAGCGGUGGGGAAUAUUGGACAAUGGGCGCAAGCCUGAUCCAGCCAUACCGCGUGGGUGAAGAAGGCCUUCGGGUUGUAAAGCCCUUUUGUUGGGAAAGAAAAGCAGCAGGUUAAUACCCCGCUGUUCUGACGGUACCCAAAGAAUAAGCACCGGCUAACUUCGUG